rnacentral:rRNA from 1 species
GACAGAGGUGCCAAGCGUUAGGCGGAAUCACUGGGCUUAAAGCGUGUGUAGGCGGAUUUGUAAGUACCUUGUGAAAUCCCACGGCUUAACCGUGGAACUGCUCGGUAUACUGCGAAUCUUGGGCCAUCUAGGGGCGAGCGGAACAAGUGGUGGAGCGGUGAAAUGCGUAGAUAUCAGGAGGAACACCGGUGGCGAAGGCGGGUCUCUGGGCCGUAACUGACGCUGAGGAGCGAAAGCAUGGGGAGCGAACAGG